CUGACAUCCAACUGUCAGCUCAUGCACAUGGUUUUAAAUCGUGCCUUGAGAUCUUACAAAAAGCCUGGCUUUGGCCCUGAGACUUGAUUCACUUUGCCAUCUUCUAUCUAUCGAGCACCUCUAAGGGCCGCUUCUCCCAUGGGCCUCCAUUGGCCCUGGACAGCCUGUCAGCUCUCAGCCAUGGGCCACCUCACCAGUCAGAUCCUGCAUCAGGCACUCCACAUACAAGAUCGGGAGCCCUCUUGCCUAUGACCAAGGUGUCCCUGUGCCCACGCUACAAGUGAAAGUGCUAAGCUCCACAGAGGAACGAACAACAUGACUUGAUGCUGCCUCUCCAAGAAGGACUUACCGUCAUGUCCACAUGAGCAAGAGAAGCUCCUGCCCCAGUGGGCACUUUUCCAGGAUGCUGAGUGAAUGUCGGCUGCAGAGUGGACAUGAGGGAUUCAGUGGCUUUCGGGCUGCCUAGACACAGCCACUGAAAUACACGGUGCCCCUACAUGACAUUCAAAUGCCAUACAGUGCAAGUCCAGGGCAGCAAUGUGACCCGUGCCUGGUCACAGGCUGUCUGAGAGCAGAGGCGGAAUAACUCCCUCCAGCAUGAAGAGCUGCUAGUCCUCCACACAUCUCCAUCCACCACCGUUCAUGAAAAACACAUAAAAAUGCCAUUCAAUUAGGUAGAGGCUGAUGGUUAGUCUCCGGGACAAUGGAAGACAAGGGACACCCCCACCUGUCACCCGGCACUGCCACCUAAGAGACCCUGAA
rnacentral:lncRNA from 1 species